GCAAGUCGAGGGGUAACAUGAGUACUUGUACUUGAUGACGACCGGCGCACGGGUGCGUAACGCGUAUGCAACCUACCCAUUACUGGAGGAUAGCCCGGGGAAACUCGGAUUAAUACUCCAUAGUAUUACCAGAUGGCACCUGACGGUAAUUAAAGAUUUAUUGGUAAUGGAUGGGCAUGCGUACCAUUAGCUAGUUGGUAAGGUAACGGCUUACCAAGGCUACGAUGGUUAGGGGGCCUGAGAGGGUGAUC
rnacentral:rRNA from 1 species